rnacentral:rRNA from 1 species
CUUACCAUGCAGUCGACGGUGUACACGGAGCUUGCUCUGUGGGAUCAGUGGCGAACGGGUGAGUAAACGUGAGCAACCUGCCCCUGACUCUGGGAUAAGCGCUGGAAACGGCGUCUAAUACUGGAUAUGUGACGUGACCGCAUGGUCUGCGUCUGGAAAGAAUUUCGGUUGGGGAUGGGCUCGCGGCCUAUCAGCUUGUUGGUGAGGUAAUGGCUCACCAAGGCGUCGACGGGUAGCCGGCCUGAGAGGGUGACCGGCCACACUGGGACUGAGACACGGCCCAGACUCCUACGGGAGGCAGCAGUGGGGAAUAUUGCACAAUGGGCGCAAGCCUGAUGCAGCAACGCCGCGUGAGGGACGACGGCCUUCGGGUUGUAAACCUCUUUUAGCAGGGAAGAAGCGAAAGUGACGGUACCUGCAGAAAAAGCGCCGGCUAACUACGUGCCAGCAGCCGCGGUAAUACGUAGGGCGCAAGCGUUAUCCGGAAUUAUUGGGCGUAAAGAGCUCGUAGGCGGUUUGUCGCGUCUGCUGUGAAAUCCGGAGGCUCAACCUCCGGCCUGCAGUGGGUACGGGCAGACUAGAGUGCGGUAGGGGAGAUUGGAAUUCCUGGUGUAGCGGUGGAAUGCGCAGAUAUCAGGAGGAACACCGAUGGCGAAGGCAGAUCUCUGGGCCGUAACUGACGCUGAGGAGCGAAAGGGUGGGGAGCAAACAGGCUUAGAUACCCUGGUAGUCCACCCCGUAAACGUUGGGAACUAGUUGUGGGGUCCAUUCCACGGAUUCCGUGACG